UACGUAGGGUGCGAGCGUUAAUCGGAAUUACUGGGCGUAAAGCGUGCGCAGGCGGCUUCGCAAGUCAGGCGUGAAAUCCCCGGGCUUAACCUGGGAAUGGCAUUUGGGACUGCAAGGCUGGAGUGCGGCAGAGGAGACUGGAAUUCCUGGUGUAGCAGUGAAAUGCGUAGAUAUCAGGAGGAAUACCGAUGGCGAAGGCAGGUCUCUGGGCUGACACUGACGCUCAUGCACGAAAGCGUGGGGAGCAAACAGG
rnacentral:rRNA from 1 species